GUUCCUAUAGUUGAAAACAACAAUGGUUCUUCAAACCAUGGGUCUUAGUGAGAAUCUGAGUGGGAAUU
rnacentral:tRNA from 1 species